CCGACUAGCCCACUAUCGAUCAGCACACCAAUAGGACUCCUGAACAACCUCUGUUCCCUCUGUGUCAUGUGACAUACCAGUAUUCAAGCUAGAUUGUUUGCUAAAAGAUGGUUCCACCUUUCGAUGAGCAUGCAAAAUUCACGACUCUGUUCUUACAGAUGAAGCGCAUUGCAAACGUAAGGUGCCCUUACAUUGUGGAGUACAAAUACUGUUGGGUGGAUAAGCGGUGCUGUGUCUGCUUUGUGAUCGGCUAAUGGAGGGGAGCAGACAUCUAUGUAACUUGUGAAGUUGUAGGAACUCCCAUUUACAUGUUGCCUUGAACUUCUUGCGAAUAUUUCAUAUGAUUCGAAGUCCGAAAUAUGGUCGCUAGUUUCAUCACGAAUCAUCGCUGGUGCCGUGACGUUGAAGUUAUCAGUAGGUAAUUGUUGAGGUAUGUUCUUGAUUUAUUGGGUCCAUUUGCCUGGGCAUUGCCGGUUUUCUUGAACAAUGGUCUGCUCUUUGCCUGCAUACGUGUGUUCUGCAGACUACCUGUUAAGUCAGCAAUUUCUCAAUGUAGAUUGUUUUCCGUCUUGUUAAAAUAGUUAGCAUUUUUCCAUCUAGACAUGACUAGCUAUUUGUAGUGACAUGUAAUUUCUUUCUGACCAACUUACUGGAUUUUCUCCAGUUUGAGUUUGGCAGCUCCUUCAAAGCAAAUGUCCUGUAAGAAUUACUUAUUUAACCUCGUUUAGUUUCUAUUCACAGGAUGCUGCUUUUAAUAAUCUGGUCGUUUACAUUACUGCUGCCAUUUAUUUAAAUUUCUACGGCUGUUGUUGACAUUAUACUUAAGCUAGGAGGAUAAUAUAAAUUUAUAACCAGUUGUGUCUUUGUUCCGGCUAACAAGCCUGAAUUGAAUGUCUGCGAUCAAACUACUCUAUAAUUUUCAGAAGCAAUCUCAUAAGUAAGAAGGUAUGAGCUAUAAUUCUUGACGUACUUGUUCAUGUAUUUUUUAUCACACCAUUGGCGACUUGGCAUUAGAGGUUUUGAUGAGGAGGUUAUGCAGUGUCUCCACUGGAAGAGUAGUAUGUUUCAGUCUAUAAAUAUUGAAGUUUAGCUGUUUACCACUAACUUCAGGUUUAGUGUUUUUGCGGGUUGCUUGCUACAUACACCACCCAGAAUGCUUUAAUUAUAUUAUUAGGAUUAUGUAAGUUUCCAUGUGAAUCUGUUUUCUAAGUGCCUUGCAAUAUCUUGCAUCCUGUGAGAUUUCUUUAUGGAAUUUAACAUAUAAUCUAAUGCCAUUAACCAUGAUUACUUCUUUUUGCUUCAAUGGGAAAUGCUUUUAUGGAACUACAUAUAACCAAUCUUAAUAACUUCAACAGGAAUUUUUGUUAUAUUUCAGAGAGAAACAAGUUUUCUAAUUGCUUAUUUUAAUUGGAAUUCCUGCUGUGUUAUUGUCUGAAAUUUAUAACAUGUAUACUUUUUCUGCUUGAGAAGGCUGUAUCAGAAUUCAGAAGUACUGCUAUCCAUGUGGAGACACACAUUAUCACUGCUAUGAGGAGCUUAAGUCUUAUUUGAUUAGGAUUACAACAGCUAUCCUUCUAAAUUUCUUGUAUGCAAGUAUUUUUUGUCUAGGUAAUGCUUUGAGUCAGGGUGUACUAGAUUAGUUAAAAGUUUCGGCCAAGCGUUCUUCAUGAUUUCAUUUCGGUUUAUAUCAUUGCCAAUGUAAAGUGCUCAUGGUGUUGUCUUCUUUGCAGAACCAUUGCCCUGGCCGGGUAUUGCGAAGGAAGGAAACACCUUGUCCGAGUCAGGCAACGUAGAGUUUGUGGUGCGGAGUAAACAUUUUGUGCCAGUUUGGUCCAGAACACAACUUCACUGUGCAAUCGGAACUAAGUAAUAAAUAAGAAAAGUAAACAUGCAGCUGCUCCUAAUGAUUGUUUG